GACGGAGGAUGCAAGUGUUAUCCGGAAUCACUGGGCGUAAAGCGUCUGUAGGUGGUUCAAUAAGUCAACUGUUAAAUCUUGAGGCUCAACUUCAAAAUCGCAGUCGAAACUAUUGGACUCGAGUAUAGUAGGGGUAAAGGGAAUUUCCAGUGGAGCGGUGAAAUGCGUAGAGAUUGGAAAGAACACCAAUGGCGAAAGCCCUUUACUGGGCUAUUACUGACACUGAGAGACGAAAGCUAGGGGAGCAAAUGGG
rnacentral:rRNA from 1 species